GUCGCGAUGGCCGAGCGGUCUAAGGCGUUGGAUUUAAGACCCAAUAUCGUAAGAUGCGUGGGUUCGAACCCCACUCGCGACA
rfam:Strongyloides papillosus strain LIN genome assembly, scaffold: SPAL_contig0002452